rnacentral:lncRNA from 1 species
GAGAUGGGCGUGGCUUAAUGCGGGUUGCUGGGCGAGGCAGCCAAUCAGAGGGCGUGGUUUGGCUUUGAAGGGCGGGGCUGCAGCACAGUAGGCGGGGCUUCCUCUUAGUGGGCGUGGCCACACGGAAGGGGCGUGGCUUCCCGUUAGAGUAAGCGUGGCUUCUCAUUGGCUCACAUCCCCGCGGUGGGCGUGGCUUCCGCUCAGUGGGCGUGGCUUCCCUCGGUGGGCGUGGCUUCUCAUUGGCCCAUUCCGCUGUGGUGGGCGUGGCUUUCGAUUAUGUGGGCGUGGCUUCCGCUCAGUGGGCGUGGCUUCUCGUUGGCUCGUUCCCCUGUGGGGGCGUGGUUUCCUAUCAGUGGGCGUGGCUUCCCCUUUGUGGGCGUGGCUUCCUAUCGUUGGCCUGGCUUCUCAUUGGCUCAUUCCUCUGCGGUGGGCGUGGCUUCCUCUCGGUGGGCGUGGCUUCGCUCUGCCCGGCGCGCCUUCCUCCCCACGUGUUCAUUCCAUCCUCGCAGUGGGCGUGGCCACCUCCAAAAGGGGGCGUGGCCAACCCCAAAAAGGGGCGUGACCACACACAAAAGGGGCGUGGUCUCACCCAAAGGGGGCGUGGUUUCCCCCUAAGCCCCGCCCCCCGCCGUCCCGUCGCUCCACCUUAAGAGCAGCCGGUACCAUCGGCCGUUCGUCCUUAAGUCGCGGGCGGCGGCGUCGUGAGGAAGAGGAGGAGGAGGAGGAGAACGAAGGGGGGGGGGCGGGUCUUGGGGGGGCUAUGGCGGGUCCGCCGCCUCCACCGCCGGGCCCUGAGGCUCCUCGUUAUCAAGAGUGGAUUUUAGAUACCAUCGAUUCGUUACGUUCCCGUAAAGCCAGACCGGAUUUAGAAAGGAUUUGUCGGAUGGUUCGAAGAAGACACGGGCCGGAACCUGAAAGAACCAGGGUUGAAUUAGAGAAGCUGAUCCAACAACGAGCCGUUCUACGAGUCAGCUACAAGGGCAGCAUCUCGUACCGCAACGCGGCCA